UUGAAAGCACUGAAGACUUUAGCUUUCUCUUUGUCAAAAAGGCAGAACACAGAAAGCAGACUGCACACUGUCCAAGGCUGUGCAGCCUUCAUGCUUGGCUGUGAUCCAUAGGAAAACCUGGAAGGUGAAAGAGGAAUCCAGUCUGAGCAGCUACUAAAUGUCUCACUUCU
ensembl:misc_RNA